GGGGAUGAUCGGCAUUGACAAUCGUUCGUUUUCGGUCGUGGCGGCGCGAGCUCCAUUAACUCGCAAAACUGAUGGAAAACCUAAAUGCAAAAUCUUCUGUCUCUCCAUACUUUGGAGCCAAGGACUUCGCAUUCGCUCUUGCAUAAAGGGCGCGCCUACCUCGGGGGAUCCUAACUCGAGGACCCUGGUGUUAUAACUUGGAUGUAGGAUAGCGCGCCUUCUCACCGCGCCAUCCGAAUCAAUGAGAUCGCGGACAUGCGUUUUGCAAGCUUUCAUGGCAUGUCCGUCAAAUCCGCUAACGCGGACUAAAGCAUGCUAUCGCCGUAGAGCCGUCCGGAAAAAUCGAUUGCACCUGGGUUCGAUUCCCAGCAUCUCCACUG
rnacentral:tmRNA from 2 species